rnacentral:rRNA from 1 species
UAAGNAUGCANNCGUUGUCCGGAAUUACUGNNCNUAAAGAGUUCGUAGGCGGUUUGUCGCGUCGUUUGUGAAAACCACCNGCUCAACUGCUGGCUUGCAGGCGAUACGGGCAGACUUGAGUACUGCAGGGGAGACUGGAAUUCCUGGUGUAGCGGUGAAAUGCGCAGAUAUCAGGAGGAACACCGGUGGCGAAGGCGGGUCUCUGGGCAGUAACUGACGCUGAGGAACGAAAGCGUGGGUAGCGAACAGGAUUAGAUACCCUGGUAGUCCACGCCGUAAACGGUGGGCGCUAGGUGGGGGUUCCUUCCACGGAAUCCGUGCCGUAGCUAACGCAUUAAGCGCCCCGCCUGGGGAGU